CUCGACAACGAAUAUCUCGUCUCUCGCAUCGAUGAAGAACGUAGUGAAAUGCGAUACUUAGUGUGAAUUGCAGAAUCCCAUGAACAAUCGACUUUUUGAAUGCAAGUUGCGCCCGAAGCCUUCUGGUCGAGGGCACGUCUUACUGGGUGUCACG
rnacentral:rRNA from 1 species